UCGAGAAUUUUUCUCAAUGGGCGCAAGCCUGAAGGAGCGACGCCGCGUGGAGGAUGAAGGUUUUCGGAUUGUAAACUCCUGUCAUUGGUGAACAAGGCGCUCCGGUUAACUGCCGGCGGCGCUUGCUAGUAGCCGAAGAGGAAGGGACGGCUAACUCUGUGCCAGCAGCCGCGGUAAUACAGAGGUCCCGAGCGUUGUUCGGAUUCAUUGGGCGUAAAGGGUGCGUAGGCGGCGGGGCCAGUCUGAUGUGAAAUCCCGGGGCUCAACCCCGGAACGGCAUUGGAUACUGCCUUGCUAGAGUACUGGAGAGGGAACUGGAAUUUACGGUGUAGCAGUGAAAUGCGUAGAGAUCGUAAGGAAGGCCAGUGGCGAAGGCGAGUUCCUGGACAGUGACUGACGCUGAGGCACGAAGGCCAGGGGAGCAAACGG
rnacentral:rRNA from 1 species